rnacentral:rRNA from 1 species
UCAAAAACAUGUCUUAUUGAGUAUAAUUUUAAGUCUAGUCUGCCCACUGAAAGUUUAAAUGGCCGCAGUAUUUUGACUGUGCUAAGGUAGCAUAAUCAUUAGUUUCUUAAUUAGAAGCUUGUAUGAAUGGUUGGAUGAAAAAAUUUCUGUCUCUAUUUAAAUUAUUUAUAAUUUUAUUUUUUAGUAAAAAAGCUAAAAUUCUUUUGAAAGACGAGAAGACCCUAUAGAGUUUUAUAAAUAUAUAAAUAUUAAUAUUUAAUGGGAUAUAAAUUUUUAAUUUUUUAAUUUAUUUGGUUGGGGUGAUUGAAAAAUUAAAUAAACUUUUUUUUGUUUUAAACAUUGAUUUAUGAAAAAUUGAUCCAUUUUUAUGAUUAAAAGAUUAAAUUACCUUAGGGAUAACAGCGUAAUAUUUUCAGAGAGUUCUUAUCGAAGAGAAAGAUUGCGACCUCGAUGUUGGAUUAAAAUUUAUUUUUGGUGUAGAAGCUAAUAUAUUAGGUCUGUUCGACCUUUAAAAUUUUACAUGAUCUGA